rnacentral:rRNA from 1 species
CCUACGGGCGGCAGCAGUGGGGAAUAUUGCACAAUGGGGGAAACCCUGAUGCAGCAACGCCGCGUGGGUGAAGGAGCGUUUCGGCGCGUAAAGCCCUGUCAGCGGGGAAGAAGGAAGACGGUACCCGAACAAGAAGCACCGGCUAAGUACGUGCCAGCAGCCGCGGUAAAACGUAGGGGGCUAGCGUUAUCCGGAAUUACGGGGGGUAAAGGAAUCGUAGACGGCGAGUUAAGCCUGCAGUGGAAGCCCGGGGCUUAACCGGGGAACUGCUUUGGUAACUGGUGUGCGGGAGUAUGGGAGGGGGAAGUGGAAUUCCUGGUGUAGCGGUGAAAUGCGUAGAGAUGAGGAGGAACACCGGUGGCGAAGGCGGCUUCCUGGACAAUAACUGACGUUGAGGUUCGAAAGCGUGGGGAGCGAACAGGAUUAGAUACCCUGGUAGUC